rnacentral:rRNA from 1 species
GGACCCGCACAAGCGGUGGAGCAUGUGGUUUAAUUCGAAGCAACGCGAAGAACCUUACCAACUCUUGACAUCCCCCUGACCGGUACAGAGAUGUACCUUCCCCUUCGGGGGCAGGGGUGACAGGUGGUGCAUGGUUGUCGUCAGCUCGUGUCGUGAGAUGUUGGGUUAAGUCCCGCAACGAGCGCAACCCUUGUCCUUAGUUGCCAGCAUUUGGUUGGGCACUCUAAGGAGACUGCCGGUGACAAACCGGAGGAAGGUGGGGAUGACGUCAAAUCAUCAUGCCCCUUAUGAGUUGGGCUACACACGUGCUACAAUGGACGGUACAAAGGGCAGCGAAGCCGCGAGGUGGAGCCAAUCCCAGAAAGCCGUUCUCAGUUCGGAUUGCAGGCUGCAACUCGCCUGCAUGAAGUCGGAAUCGCUAGUAAUCGCAGGU